GGCAGAAGUGGCGGUGGAGAGGAGAGGCGGCUGGGCUUGGAAGUGGAGACUGGGGCAGAAGGUCGGGGGGAAGAGGUAACCACCGGCUCCAAAGAGCGCACAGAUGCUCUGUGUGGGGUCGGCUAGUCUAUUUUAUUUUGCACAAAUAUGGAUGAUGAAAAAUCCGCCUCUGCUAGAAUGCUGAAGAUGCCUUAUAUUGUAUAGAGGCCAGUUCAGAAAUGCAAAAUCUUCGCGCUGCUGCUGCUGCUACUACUACUACUACUACUACUACUACUAUAUUUCAGGUUUUGUUCGGUUCAAAACAUUCCCCAGAGGAUGAAGAGAGCUGUUUUUACUAUUAUUACCAUCUUAUUGCAACAAGGAUACAUUUCUGCAACUGAGUAGUCCUUUGAGGAGGGACAAGAAAGCAGUGAAAAUCACUGACAUCCCUCCACACCUUCCGUUGCUGCUGGGCUGCGGAGGAAAGCAGAUAUCCAGAGUCCCACUUACUUGCAAAGUUGAUGAACAGCAAUUUUCUCAGACUGCAGAACAGGAGGGCCUUACUGCAAGGUUGACAUUGGAAAAGAUAAAAGUGCAAGGCCUUGCUUUGAUAUUUAACACUGGUGACUUGAAUCAACCUUGAAACAUGCUGGCGAUGGUCUAGAGCAGAGAAAUUGAUUAACUUGAAGCAGGGGCUGAAAUGCUGCCACUGAAGUGAGAGUCCUAUCCCGUCUCCACUGCUCUGAUGGAAGAAAUCAAAGCCCUUCUAGAGCUGGACACAAAGCAGCAGUUGCCAUGAACUCUUUCUAAGUGUGCAUCAGAACAAUAGUUGCCCACACUCCUGACUGAAUGGUGUGACCCGAAUUGACCUUCUCCCGGGCAGUGGCCAUGCCCCCUGCAACUGACAUCAGACGCAAGGGUGUGGCUUGGGGCAUGGGGCACGGGAGGGGGGGGCAUGGGGGGAAGGCCCCUUACACGAUCUCUCUCCCCCAUUCACUUUGCCAUUCAUUGCAGCACAUGAACAACGCUGCAGCCAGUGGCAAAGCAGGGUGCUGAAGGAGGAGGUCCUCUGGCAUCCCUCAACGCACCAUGACAGAAGCACACGGUGCACUGAAGGAUCCUCCCUCAGCUGGGCGAUCACACACAACCCUGGCCCUGGGGUUAAGGGUGUGCCCGUACCCUUAAUCCUGCGUAAGGGCUGUGGUAAGAAGUCAAGUUUGGUGGGAGGGCAGUGCUGGGAUCGGUACUGCACACAAGCAGCCCAACCCAGGUGAGGCUGCCCUUGCCUGGGUUAGGCUGCUCAUGGGAAUAGGCUCUAUUUUUUGCAACUGUAGAAUGAAAAAGGCGGACUAGUGUUCAAACUAUAUGUGUGUGUGGGAGGGAGAGAGAACUAUAAGGGAGAUCAAGAUAGCUUGAACUUUAGUUUAGCAUGUCAUAAGGCAAAAAAAAAAAUGUGGUCAUACACACUCGCUGGCUGUCAGGACUGCUUGCCCAUCGUUCUUGUAAGUUCCAGCCUUUGGGAGACUGUAUUCUGUGACACUUGUAAAGAGGCUGGUCCUGUGGGUCUGAUUAAAGUGCAUCUUCCAGAUAAAAACCUUGCAGACUUUAGACAAACUCUACUCUGUGCCUGACCUUCAGAGUUAACACAAAAGGUGGGGCAGGGGAGACAGGGAAUCUGUCUUGAGCAUCCUUUGACCAUCCCAGAAUUUCAUUUAGAGCAACAUACGAACAAAGAAAGGGUGUUGGAUGCUCGCAGUAAUGAAAAUCCAUGACUCUGCUGUGCAUUCAUAAUUAUUUUAUAAAUAAAUGUCUGCCAGAGAGCCACAUCUGUCUCUUCCCACCGAGUGUACGUCUUUCAUUAAUGUAUCAUAGGCUGAAUGAAGCCAGCCUGAGUGCUGGGCUUGCAUUUUUCUCCUUCCCUCCAUCAUUGUCCACGGAUAGGUUUUUGUGGUUCAGAAAGAGCUGCAAGCCCCACACUUCUCUGCAAGACUGAUGGCUCGUCAAUAACAUUAGCCAGCAUUAUGGCCCGCAUCAGUGUAGAACAGAAUCGAUACGGCCAAGUAAAAAGUCUAAUAAGUUGACAUGACCAUCCUCAGCAGGGCUCACGUUACAAGAAAUGAGUUUUUUUAAGGAAUCAGCGUCAGCGCUGCUUAUUCACCCCACACUGAGAUGCCUUGACUAAGAUUUAUUGCUCCUGCUUUUUGCCGGCAGUGCUGGCUAAGCUGGUAAAAGUAAAAUAAUCAUUGAGGGUACAAGAAAAAUAAAGGUUUUUUAUUUUUUAUUUUUUUAAAUUAAUAAACACUGACCACUGAGAAGGUAAGAAGACAUGUGUGUACAGUAGCCUGGCGUAUGAUGAAAGCCGGGGUUUGGGGCAUAAAUAGGAUAAUCCUGGGAUUUAUUUCCGUAUUGGAGCUGGACCAUGUAUUUUCUCUCUGGGUCUUUCAUGUAUUCUCUUAGGGCUUUGUUCUUUAGGAUAUGUGAUAAUUUAAAGUAGUGCAGUUUUAGAGUAAAUCCAGUGGACAUAAUGAUGUUACAGGCCAUUGUACCUGGAAGCAGAAGGUAUUAUCUCCCAGACCCCUGGGAGAUAAUAGUGACUAAUGUAGACACAUACACACACUUAAAAGAAGCAGCUUUCCUUUAACUUCGCUCUGCAUGAAGUCAUUAUGAAGCUGCUGUACAACUCUACAUUCUUUUUUUCCUCCCCUCCCUUCCCCUCCUCACCUGAUGGGAUGCACCAUUGUGCAUGGGGUGUGGGGAAAGCAACAUUGCACUCUGGUGAACCUUGUUGGUUAGCUGCUCUCAUUUGUCCAGUCAUCUGAGGGAAAACCCUGUUCAGUCAUGUGAAGUUAAAGCAUUAGUGAAAUCGUUACUGAAGCAUUGUCAAGCUAAUAAGCCAA